rnacentral:rRNA from 1 species
AGUGAGGCCUUCGGACUGGCCCAGGGAGGUCGGCAACGACCACCCAGGGCCGGAAAGUUCGUCAAACUUGGUCAUUUAGAGGAAGUAAAAGUCGUAACAAGGUCUCCGUAGGUGAACCUGCGGAGGGAUCAUU